AACGCACGAGACCUGCGGACCUGCGGAGGGAUCAUUAAUGAGAAACUGCCCCUCGCGGGUAGAUCUCCCACCCUUUGUAAACUUACCUUUGUUGCUUUGGCAGGCCCGUCUCCGGACCGCCGGCUUCGGCUGGCCAGUGCCUGCCAGAGGAUUCUAAAACUCUGUCUGUCAGUGUUGUCUGAGUCUAUAUACAAUCGUUAAAACUUUCAACAACGGAUCUCUAGAUCGGAAGAGCACACG
rnacentral:misc_RNA from 1 species